GGCAGUGUAGCUCAGUGGUAGAGCAUGUGCUUAGCAUGCUCAAACUCUGGAUUAAAUCCCCAACAUGACUG
rnacentral:tRNA from 1 species